rnacentral:misc_RNA from 1 species
GUUUGUGCAAGCUUUCCUCAAACAAUGAGGAAUGCAGAAACAUGAAAGUUAAGACCAGAUAAUUUUCCUGAAGGGUAAGCCUGCGCCUUUAGCUUGUUCCAUUAGAAUCUCAUUUUAGGCAUGCUAAUUGGUGGCAGGAUGAGAUAAAUUGUUUAGGAUAUUUAGGAUAGUCCAUGUACUGGUCUUAUGAGUGUAGAUAAUUAUAUAUCAUGCUCAUGCUGUUAUUAUUUUGGUGAUUGGAAUGAGUAGUCAUCUUCUGAAUUCCACAGGAAGAGUGUAGAAAAUGAUUUUUACAAGCUCUAUAUAAGAGAAAAAUGGCUAUAUGAAUCAUGGCGCUAACUCUGUAAUUUAUAUAUAUUUUUGCUAUCUUGUCUUAGGUUUUUAUAUUAUUUACUUGGCAUAUUGGUUUUGAUAUUUAGAAGGUUUCCAUUUAAUGACUUCUAGGAAGAUUUUUAUGCUGUUGUUGAU